GACAGAGGGCGCAAACGUUGUUCGGAAUUACUGGGCGUAAAGCGCGUGUAGGCUGCUUCGCAAGUCGGAUGUGAAAGCCCUGGGCUCAACCCAGGAAGUGCAUUCGAAACUGCAGAGCUGGAGUCCUGGAGAGGAAGGCGGAAUUCUCGGUGUAGAGGUGAAAUUCGUAGAUAUCGAGAGGAACACCGGUGGCGAAGGCGGCCUUCUGGACAGUGACUGACGCUGAGACGCGAAAGCGUGGGGAGCAAACAGG
rnacentral:rRNA from 1 species